UACGUGAGGGUGCAAGCGUUGUCCGGAAUUAUUGGGCGUAAAGAGCUCGUAGGCGGCUCUGUCGCGUCGGCUCGUGAAAACUCGGGGCUCAACUCCAGCUUGCAGUCGAUACGGGGCAGGCUCAGAGUUCGGCAGGGGAGACUGGAAUUCCUGGUGUAGCGGUGAAAUGCGCAGAUAUCAGGAGGAACACCGGUGGCGAAGGCGGGUCUCUGGGCCGAUACUGACGCUGAGGAGCGGAAAGCGUGGGGGAGCGAACAGG
rnacentral:rRNA from 1 species